GACGAACGCUGGCGGCGUGCCUAAUACAUGCAAGUGGGACGCAAGGGAACACACUGUGCUUGCACACCGUGUUUUCUUGAGUCGCGAACGGGUGAGUAACGCGUAGGUAACCUGCCUAUUAGCGGGGGAUAACUAUUGGAAACGAUAGCUAAUACCGCAUAAUAUUAAUUAUUGCAUGAUAAUUGAUUGAAAGAUGCAAGCGCAUCACUAGUAGAUGGACCUGCGUUGUAUUAGCUAGUUGGUAAGGUAAGAGCUUACCAAGGCGACGAUACAUAGCCGACCUGAGAGGGUGAUCGGCCACACUGGGACUGAGACACGGCCCAGACUCCUACGGGAGGCAGCAGUAGGGAAUCUUCGGCA
rnacentral:rRNA from 1 species